GGAGGUGGUGGUUGCUGGCCUCUGUGGGUUUCCCGGGUCAAAGAAACAGAAUUUAGAACCUGGAAGUGUUGAUCAAGACGAACACCGCAACUUUGAUCAACUUCAGGCUCUUCCGGUCCCUCUGCUGCCUGAGGCCAGGGAAGGAAGAGGUACCUAACAGGACAGCCACACCUUGGGAAGCCGAGGAUUUGGUGACCAAGAACCAGAUACAAUGAGACCAGUGGAAUUGCCAGAGUUGUGCCCAGAGAGCUCACUGUGAACUGGAUCCGCUUCAUGGAAUACUGGGGAGGAUUACUUAGGAGUCCUCGUGUGUUUGAAACCAGAAGGAACCUUCAAAACCAGCACCUGAUGGACGAGAUAGCUGGUGCACGGAGGGUUCUCAGACACAUGGACGGACUAUUCUCUGGAAGAAGCAGAGAUCACUUGGGAAUUUGGCAGGAUCCAGCUUGAGGAACUGCAUUAAAGAGCCC